CCUACGGGAGGCAGCAGUAGGGAAUUUUCCGCAAUGGGCGAAAGCCUGACGGAGCAAUACCGCGUGAGGGAUGACGGCCUGUGGGUUGUAAACCUCUUUUCUCAAGGAAGAAGUUCUGACGGUACUUGAGGAAUAAGCAUCGGCUAACUCUGUGCCAGCAGCCGCGGUAAUACAGAGGAUGCAAGCGUUAUCCGGAAUCACUGGGCAUAAAGCGUCUGUAGGUUGUUUAGUAAGUCUGCUGUUAAAGACUGGGGCUUAACCCCAGAAAAGCAGUGGAAACUGCUAGACUCGAGUGUGGUAGAGGUAGAGGGAAUUCCUAGUGUAGCGGUGAAAUGCGUAGAUAUUAGGAGGAACACCAAUGGCGAAGGCACUCUACUGGGCCAUAACUGACACUGAGAGACGACAGCUAGGGGAGCAAACGGGAUUAGAUACCCCGGUAGUCCUAGCCGUAAACGAUGGAUACUAGAUGUUGCACGUAUUAACCCGUGCAGUAUCGUAGCUAAGGCGUUAAGUAUCCCGCCUGGGAAGUACGCUCGCAAGAGUGAAACUCAAAGGAAUUGACGGCUGAGAGNGCGAGACGACGACGAGGGAGAGG
rnacentral:rRNA from 1 species